rnacentral:misc_RNA from 1 species
AACCUUAUGGACCUGCGGGCGUAUACCUGCGGAGGGAUCAUUAGAAAAAAAAAAGCUGGAAAAAAAUCCAGCAACCUCCUUAACACCUGUGCACUUAUUGAGCCUUUUUGGCAGAAGUUCUCUCUUUUCUUUUGGGGAAGGAGAUUGAGCUUCUUGUCAAAAAGGUGGAAAUCCCAACUCUAUCCUAUUUGUCUGACUGAAAUAAAUCAAUUAAAAUAAAAUACAACUUUCAACAACGGA